AACGCGAAGAACCUUACCUGGGCUCGAAAUGCAGGAGACCGGGGUAGAAAUAUCCCUUUCCGCAAGGACUGCUGUAUAGGUGCUGCAUGGCUGUCGUCAGCUCGUGUCGUGAGAUGUUGGGUUAAGUCCCGCAACGAGCCGACAACCCUUGUCCUGUGGUUGCCGAUACGAUUUAGUUGGGAACUCGCAGGAGACCGCCAGCGAUAAGCUGGAGGAAGGUGGGGAUGACGUCAAGUCCUCAUGGCCUUUAUGUCCAGGGCUACACACGUGCUACAAUGGCCGGUACAAUGCGCUGCUAAGUCGCAAGACGGAGCCAAUCGCAAAAAACCGGUCUCAGUUCGGAUUGCAGGCUGCAACUCGCCUGCAUGAAGCUGGAAUCGCUAGUAAUGGCAUAUCAGAACGAUGCCGUGAAUACGUUCCCGGGCCUUGUACACACCGUACGUC
rnacentral:rRNA from 1 species